AUACGGAGGGUGCGAGCGUUAAUCGGAAUUACUGGGCGUAAAGCGUGCGUAGGCGGCUCGUUAAGUCAGAUGUGAAAGCCCUGGGCUCAACCUGGGAACGGCAUUUGAAACUGGCGAGCUAGAGUUUGGGAGAGGAGAGUGGAAUUUCAGGUGUAGCGGUGAAAUGCGUAGAGAUCUGAAGGAACACCAGUGGCGAAGGCGACUCUCUGGCCUAAAACUGACGCUGAGGUACGAAAGCGUGGGUAGCAAACAGGAUUAGAUACCCUGGUAGUCCACGCCGUAAACGAUGUCAACUAGCCGUUGGCUCUCUUAGAGAGUUAGUGGCGCAGCUAACGCAUUAAGUUGACCGCCUGGGGAGUACGGCCGCAAGGUUAAA
rnacentral:rRNA from 1 species